rnacentral:rRNA from 1 species
AACUAACGCUGGCGGCGUGCCUAACACAUGCAAGUCGUAUGAGAAAGCCGGCUUCGGCUGGUGAGUAAAGUGGCGCACGGGUGAGUAACGCGUGGAUAAUCUGCCCUUAAGUGUGGAAUAACGUACCGAAAGGUGCGCUAAUACCGCAUAAUGCCUGGCAACACAAGUUGUCCGGCCAAAGAAGGCCUCUGUUUACAAGCUUUCGCUUCAGGAUGAGUCCGCGUACCAUUAGCUUGUUGGUGGGGUAAUGGCCUACCAAGGCUGCGAUGGUUAGCUGGUCUGAGAGGAUGAUCAGCCACACUGGAACUGAGACACGGUCCAGACUCCUACGGGAGGCAGCAGUGAGGAAUAUUGCGCAAUGGGGGCAACCCUGACGCAGCAACGCCGCGUGAGUGAGGAAGGUUUUCGGACUGUAAAGCUCUGUCGAGCGGGAAGAAGUGUACCAUGGCUAAUAUCCAUGAUAUUUGACGGUACCGCUAGAGG